CCAGACUCCUACGGGAGGCAGCAGUGAGGAAGAGUGGUCAAUGGGAGGGAGCCUGAACAAGGCAAGUCGCGUGAAGGAAGAAGGUACUUAGUAUUGUAAAAUUCUUUUGUCGGGGAAGAAAGGCGGAGAAGAGUCUCCGGAUGAGUGUACCCGAAGAAAAAGCAUCGGCUAACUCCGUGCCAGCAGCCGCGGUAAUACGGAGGAUGCGAGCGUUAUCCGGAUUUAUUGGGUUUAAAGGGUGCGUAGGUGGUUAAUUAAGUCAGCGGUGAAAGUUUGUGGCUCAACCAUAAAAUUGCCGUUGAAACUGGUUGACUUGAGUAUAUUUGAGGUAGGCGGAAUGCGUGGUGUAGCGGUGAAAUGCAUAGAUAUCACGCAGAACUCCGAUUGCGAAGGCAGCUUACUAAACUAUAACUGACACUGAAGCACGAAAGCGUGGGGAUCAAACAGGAUUAGAUACCCGUGUAAC
rnacentral:rRNA from 1 species